GUGCCUACGGGGGGCAGCAGUAGGGAAUAUUGCACAAUGGGGGAAACCCUGAUGCAGCGACGCCGCGUGAAGGAUGAAGUAUUUCGGUAUGUAAACUUCUAUCAGCAAGGAAGAAAAUGACGGUACUUGACUAAGAAGCCCCGGCUAACUACGUGCCAGCAGCCGCGGUAAUACGUAGGGGGCAAGCGUUAUCCGGAUUUACUGGGUGUAAAGGGAGCGUAGGUGGCAGGGCAAGUCAGAUGUGAAAACCCGUGACUCAACCCCGGGAGUGCAUUUGAAACUGUCCAGCUGGAGUGCAGGAGAGG
rnacentral:rRNA from 1 species